AUGACUGGAGGAUCCGGCGCGGAUUAGUGACGAAAAGCCCUACACAAGGA
rnacentral:snoRNA from 2 species